UACGUAGGGUGCGAGCGUUAAUCGGAAUUACUGGGCGUAAAGCGUGCGCAGGCGGUUCGUUGUGUCGGUGGUGAAAUCCCCCGGCUUAACCUGGGAACUGCGUCUGAUACUGGAAGGCUUGAGUGCGGGAGAGGGAUGUGGAAUUCCAGGUGUAGCGGUGAAAUGCGUAGAUAUCUGGAGGAACACCGGUGGCGAAGGCGGCAUCCUGGACCGACACUGACGCUGAGGCGCGAAAGCUAGGGUAGCAAACGGG
rnacentral:rRNA from 1 species